rnacentral:rRNA from 1 species
UGGGGAAUUUUGGACAAUGGGCGAAAGCCUGAUCCAGCAAUGCCGCGUGUGUGAAGAAGGCCUUCGGGUUGUAAAGCACUUUUGUCCGGAAAGAAAUCCUUGGCUCUAAUACAGUCGGGGGAUGACGGUACCGGAAGAAUAAGCACCGGCUAACUACGUGCCAGCAGCCGCGGUAAUACGUAGGGUGCAAGCGUUAAUCGGAAUUACUGGGCGUAAGCGUGCGCAGGCGGUUUGCUAAGACCGAUGUGAAAUCCCGGGCUCAACCUGGGAACUGCAUUGGUGACUGGCAGGCUAGAGUAUGGCAGAGGGGGGUAGAAUUCCACGUGUAGCAGUGAAAUGCGUAGAGAUGUGGAGGAAUACCGAUGGCGAAGGCAGCCCCCUGGGCCAAUACUGACGCUCAUGCACGAAAGCGUGGGGAGCAAACAGGAUUAGAUACCCUGGUAGUCCACGCCCUAAACGAUGUCAACUAGUUGUUGGGGAUUCAUUUCCUUAGUAACGUAGCUAACGCGUGAAGUUGACCGCCUGGGGAGUACGGUCGCAAGAUUAAAACUC